rnacentral:lncRNA from 1 species
CCCGAAUGCCGAUCGAAACCCCGCAAGGCUUAGCAUCAGCUUCCGCAUCUCCCCGGUGAGCGACAGUUAUUAAAUCUCGCAUUUCAAGAAAUCAUAAGUCAUUUCCAAAUUAAAUCAAUAAAAUAUUAUUUUCUAGCUCACAGGGGCAUUUUCGUCAUUUUUCUUUGAUAAUACCGAAACUCGCCAAAAACAUGGUGUAAAAGCUAAAUAUGUUCAUACAUAUUUUAAAUCAGAUAACUAAAGUAUAAAAUUACUUUUACAAUGACACGUGGGCCCCCAACUAACCAAUAAAAUGCGAGUCUGUGAACCUAUAAUUUUGACAAUGCAAGGCUAACUGAAGUCCUUGAUGCAAUCGGCUAUCUACCGGCUAUCUCGAACCUGAAAUGUGAGAAAUUGAGGGUGGUGAGAUUAUAAAAUCCUAGUGAGUAAAGAGACACCAUCUAAACUAUCUAAAGACGAGUAAAUGGAAAUAAUAAAAAAUAAUUAACUUCAGCAAAUUUUUCACAUCACGAAUAUUCAUUUCAACCAAAUAAUCAAUAUGGCUCGUGAAUUACUCGAAACUUGGCUCAUGCCAAAUCCUGUACUCGGUGACACCUAGACCAGGGGUAUCCAACCGAGCCCGUCAAGGUUGUUAAAAAUUCAUAUUUCGCAUAAAUCAUAUUUUUAUUUUGAAACAUAGCCAUUCUUUGACGUUGGCUGAGUCUCACUCUCACGCGGUGGUCCACGUGAAGUGCACUAAAAAAGCCCACCUUAAGAGAUACCCUACGCGCCUCUACGACCAAGGUGAGAAUAUAAAGGAGUUUACCGUGCCCCUUUAAUAGGCUGGCCCACGGAACCCCCCACCACCACAGUAGCUAAUCUUUUAUCUACCACCUGAUUUAUUAAAUUUCUUUCUACAUGACAUGGCAAUUUAUCGCAACCUAGCCUCUCAAGGCUAAAUACACAGUACAAAUAAUUCUAACACCAAAAUCAGUUUAGCCAUUCAUGCUCAUUUAUUGUCAUAAGUCAUUCAAUUUAAAACCAUAAAUUUACAACACAAGUAAGCAGUCUCCAAUUACUCUAUUUUCAAAACCAGUAUUCGAUUUUUCAAAAAAUUUAUAAAAUCAUUUUAUAAAAUCACAAUUUCUCUUAAAACAUUGCAAUUUACCAUUUAAACCCAUUUUCCAUAAAAUCACACAAUUGUAUAAAACUAUUCUAGAUAAUUAAGACGAUAAUAAGUUUACUCACAGUUUCCGAAAACUAAAUUCGGGUACUCCAACUAUUACUCCUCGAGUGUGAUUUCUUUACCCUUGCUAGAGGAUUCUCCACCUUGACAAAUUAUACAAUUAAGAGGUUUACUACUUUGGUACUAAACCAAAAUAAACUAAUUUAUACUACUAAUGCAUGAUAUGAAGUGCAAAAUGUCUAAAUUUUAACUAAACGAAAUGUUAGCCUAUUUCGAUCUUUUACCCGAUAAAUCGAUAUACGCGUCCGUUUAAACUCCAAAUUAAUUUUUUUCAAUUUCUAUACCUCAACUGCACCCAAAUUGACUUAAUGUUCCUUAGUGUGGAGCGAAUUAUCAGUCUCGGUAGCAAAUUACGAAAAUACCCCUAGUGGGUAAAAAUUCAUAUUUUUGCUUCGAAAAUUCCCAUUAUUUUUCUAGGCUCAUAAUUCAUCAUUAUUCAUCAUAAUUCCUCAAAUAAACAUCAAGAUCAACAGCCAAUAUUCCCCUAAAAAAUUCAGCAUAAUGAGUUUCAAUGGGAGAAAAUUAUUUCUCUAGCUUAUUUUUGCUAUAUUUCAAUAUAACCUAACUAAAAUCACUUAAUUCAAUUAAAAUCAACCAAAACUCAAGUUCAAAACUCAUCCAUGGAGGUUUGGCCAGCAUGGGUGUCCAUUCCCAGUUUCUAAUUUUGCAUGGAAAUGAGAAAAAAAUGCAUGGGUAGUGAAAAUCACAAGGAAAAUCAAUGAAAUUUACCUUUUUAAUGCUUGAUUUCCUUAUUUCUCUUGAUUUUCCCCAAAUUUUUUUCAGCUAGGGUUCUUAUUUCUUUCCUCCUUUUUCUCUCCUGGUUUGGACAGCUGAAGAAGAUGAGAAUUCUGGAAUUUUUGACAUUUUUUAAAGGCUAAAUUAAUAUAAUAUUAUUUUAUUUAUUUUUUUUGUUUUAUUAAUUCCUUAAAUUCUAGCCAUCCAUUUAUUUUCAAAUUUUCACCAUACACUUGUCCCACAUAUCCAUAGCUUAGAUAAAAUUCUCAGACUUAUCCAAAGUCUUGGUGGAGUAAUUUUUGAAAUUUACACUUUUACCCCCGUAAAAGUUAAAAAUUACAUAGACAUAUUUUUCAUCCCUUAUACUCAUACCAUUCUCUAAUUUGUCAAAUUUGAUCUAAAUUCUCUCAAAAUCUCAAAUUUUGUCCGUGGGUGAAAAAAUUACGAUUCUUGCCCCUACACUCCAAAAAUCACCGGAAUUAAACUUUUUCACUGCCAAACCCUCAAAUUAUGCUCCAAUACUCAAAUCAUACUCCAAUAAGUUAAAUGGGGCCAAAAAAAUCUUUUCUCAAAAUUUCCACUUUGUCCCCAAGUGGCAAAUGACCAUUUUGCCCCCUAGAUAGUGAAAAUUUUGGUUUGACUCCAAAUUGAUCCUCGAACUCCGAAUUACCAUUUUGAGUCAUCCCUGAACUGUGAAACUCUUAAUUUCACCUCAAAAUUCCUAUUUGAACUAGUUUGAGGCUUAAUCGACUUAAUGGUACCAUUAGGGGCAAUAUCUAUUUUAACGAUUCCUCGAACUUCUAAACAUGCAAACAUUCUAUUGAGCAUGUAAAUGACGUCGUAAUUAUUUUAUAGAACAGGGUUUGACAUCUUAUUCAACUCCAAAUAUAUUCAUUAUACUUCCAAUAAUCUAAUACACCAAAGCAUUACAAUGAACUUGAUUUUUGACUAACUUCACCAUUUUUUGAAAUUCAUUCCGAUUUCGAACUGACAUACUAAUCAAUGUCUACACAGUCUCGUAAAUCCAUAUAUAUAUCAUUAGGAAUCAAAUCCAAGUCUAUUUACUAUGAUUUUCUCAUUUUCCAUCAAGCCAUUUUCUAAAGGAACUAUAUUUUUCAAUAACCGGUUUCGAUAUCUAACACCAUAUUUCAUCAACUCCUAGCUAAAUAACAUGAAAUACAACCAAAUCCAUCAUCAAUAUGCCUUAUAGAAAAUUCGGCCAAAUGAGGGUUAUUGAAGAACUUGUGAUUUUCUUGCUUGUUUUUCCUUCCAAACAUCACAAAAUGACUAAAAAUACUAGGAUAUUAUGAAAUCUAGCAAAAUUCAUCACCAAAACUUCUCUCUCUAGAUUUGGCCAGCAAAGGUUCCCUCUUGAAAACUUGAAUUUCAGCCAUGGAGAAUAAAAAAGAAUGCAUGGGAAAGGUAGUUCACAAGCUAAAAUUAAAAAAUCUUACCUUUACUUGCUUGAUUUCUUGAAAUCCAACAAUUUCUCUUGAAUUUUUCCUUCCUAGGGUUUGUUCUUCUCUUUUUCUCUUU